rnacentral:rRNA from 1 species
AGCCAGACUCCUACGGGAGGCAGCAGUGGGGAAUAUUGCACAAUGGGGGAAACCCUGAUGCAGCGACGCCGCGUGAGUGAAGAAGUAUUUCGGUAUGUAAAGCUCUAUCAGCAGGGAAGAAAAUGACGGUACCUGACUAAGAAGCCCCGGCUAACUACGUGCCAGCAGCCGCGGUAAUACGUAGGGGGCAAGCGUUAUCCGGAUUUACUGGGUGUAAAGGGAGCGUAGACGGCAUGGCAAGUCAGAUGUGAAAGCCCGGGGCUCAACCCCGGGACUGCAUUUGAAACUGUCAGGCUGGAGUGCAGGAGAGGUAAGUGGAAUUCCUAGUGUAGCGGUGAAAUGCGUAGAUAUUAGGAGGAACACCAGUGGCGAAGGCGGCUUACUGGACUGUAACUGACGUUGAGGCUCGAAAGCGUGGGGAGCAAACAGGAUUAGAUACCCUCGUAUC